rnacentral:lncRNA from 1 species
CAGAGCCUCCCACACCAGAGCCCCCUAACACACACACCAGAGCCCCUAAUACACACAGAGCCCCUGACACACACACUAGAGCCCCCAACACUCAUACACACCAGAGCCCCCCAACACAUACACCAGAGCCUCCAACACACAUACCACAGCCCUCCACGCACACACCAGAGCCCCCAAUACACACACACUGAGCUCCCAACACAUACACCAGAGCCCCCAACAUACACACCAGAGCCCCCAACACACACACCAGAGCCCCCAACACACACACCACAGCCAACACACACACACCAGAGCCUCCAACACAUAUACACACACGAGAGCCCCCAACACUCAUACACACCAGAGCCUCCAACACAUACACACCAGAGCCCCCAACAGACACACACACACACCAGAGCCCCCAACACACACACCAGAGCCAACACACAUACACCAGAGCCCUUCAACACACACAGAGCCAACACAUACACCAGAGCCUCCAACACACACACGAGCCCCCAACAUACACACCAGAGCCCCCCAACACACCAGAGCCCCCAAUACACACACACAACAGAGCCCCCAACACACACACCAGAGCCUCCCACACCAGAGCCCCCUAACACACCAGAGCCCCCAACACAGAGACCCCAACAUAUACACCAGAGCCCCCCAACACAGAGACCCCAACAUAUACACCAGAGCCCAACACACCAGAGCCCGCAAUACACACACACACAGGGCCCAACACACAUACCAAAGCCCUCCAACACACACACAACAGAGUCACCAGUACACACGCACAGAGCCCCCCGACACAUACACCAGAGCCUCCAACACACAUACCACAGCCCCCCACACACACACCAGAGCCCCCAAUACACACAGAGCCCCCA